GGCGGUACCGGCGCCAUUUUGCCCGAGCGUGCGAGCUAGUGGGAGUGGAACGCACCGGCCGUUGUAGCCGUCGCCUUCUUCCUCCCCACAGUCAAACAGCGCGGUGACUAGGCCGUCGGCCCUCGAGCCGAGACAUAUCUCUUGUUUAGUGCUCGGGAGCGCCUGGCCAACAUGAGUGAUGUAGAGGAGAACAACUUCGAGGGCAGAGAGUCUCGCUCUCAGUCAAAAUCUCCAACGGGAACUCCUGCUCGUGUAAAAUCAGAGAGCAGGUCAGGAUCUCGUAGUCCAUCAAGGGUUUCCAAACAUUCUGAAUCCCAUUCUCGAUCAAGAUCAAAAUCCAGGUCGAGGUCACGGAGGCAUUCUCAUAGACGCUACACGCGAUCCAGGUCACACUCUCACAGAAGACGGUCGCGAAGUAGGUCCUAUACACCAGAGUACAGGCGGAGGAGGAGCCGGAGCCACUCCCCCAUGUCAAACCGCAGAAGGCACACUGGCAGCAGGGCAAACCCAGAUCCUAACACUUGCCUGGGAGUAUUUGGCCUCAGUCUGUAUACAACAGAGAGAGAUCUUCGUGAAGUUUUUUCUCGAUAUGGACCUCUGAGUGGUGUUAAUGUGGUUUAUGAUCAGCGAACUGGGAGGUCACGCGGGUUUGCUUUUGUGUAUUUUGAGAGGAUAGAUGACUCUAAGGAGGCUAUGGAAAGAGCAAAUGGGAUGGAGCUGGAUGGUAGAAGAAUUCGUGUGGAUUAUUCUAUCACCAAGAGAGCACACACACCUACACCAGGCAUUUACAUGGGCAGACCAACUCAUGGUGGUGGAGGUGGCGGAGGAGGAGGUGGUGGCGGCGGUGGUGGUGGAGGUGGUAGACGGCGAGAUUCUUACUACGAUAGAGGAUAUGAUCGAGGCUAUGACAGAUAUGAAGAUUAUGAUUACCGGUACAGAAGAAGGUCGCCUUCUCCUUACUACAGUCGCUACAGGUCACGAUCAAGAUCCCGUUCCUAUAGCCCAAGACGCUAUUGAUACCGGAGCGAUUGUGCCCCAGGACUUUGCUUCCUCUUUUUGGUUUUUGGAUUUCCAAGCUUCCAAUGUUUCCUUUUAAAAACAAAAAACAAAAAAACCUGGUUUAUUUAACCUCUGUGUGGCCAGUUGUGUUGCUGUUCUUCACCCUUUGUUAAACUCUUAAAGGUGUAAUUGUCUUUUCAGUAGUUGAACAUCUCGAGUAAAGGAGCACCAUGCUGUGCUUUGUGGUUCUUCUUUGCCUUACAGAGGAUUAACUUCUUACGAUGAGGAAAGAAACCAUCUUUUGAAAGCUUUUUCUGAUGGACAUUGUAGUAGACAUUAGAAAUCUGUGGUAUGACAAACUGCUUUUUAAUCUUCUUUGGCAGAAGACAACACUUUGGAUAGGUCAGUCCUGUCAGGCUUGUCUGGAGUGGCAUGGAGCAGUUGAAUAGUUGAGUGUAGAAAGUUUGAAGCUCUAGGAGAAAAUAUGGGACAUUUCUUUUGAAGAAUAUAACUUUGAACGUAAAAAUUAAGUCACCUUUUAGAAAUUAAAAGCUUGUAAUUCCUAUAAGACAUGUUGUAUUUGAAUUUACAUGUUAAACCUUAUUAUAAACUUAAAGUGUGAUUUUUAUGUUAAGUUUACGGAAACUUUAUUCCCUUAAUCACUGAAGGACAACCUUUAUUUAUUACCUAGAACAAUUGUAUAACUUGCUGUUAGAAAUUUUGGUAUUGGGACAUUGGUUACAUGGGUUAUUGUAUAGGAUCCUAAAUAAUACAUGUGGGGAAGAGUAAUUUCAAAUAAAAGUUAAUUUGAAAA
rnacentral:lncRNA from 1 species